AUGCGUUCCAUGACCUUCUUUCUUUCCAACCAGCCACGUUUCCAAAAGGACCGGAGAGCUAGAAUUCCUGCCAUCUCCCCUCAGCCCAUUCAACAACAGCAUUUGUCGCGCACAUGUGCGGACCAUCUGCCCCAAGGAGAAACUGCUCGAGCCACAGGGCUGAUUAACUCUUAUGAGCUACGAGUCGGUGCCUGGAGGCUAAGUGACUCGCGACGAGAGAUCAGUGCUUUAGGAAGAAGUGGAGCCGGGGAGACCGAAGUUCCUAUUCUGGCACCAGUGCCUGCUCGCUGUGGAACACGAGGCCAAAUCCUAGGGAGGAUUUCACCAAAUUUGACAAACCGAAUUAGAAAUUCAUAAGAGAAGCAAAGGACCGGGACUAGCUGAGACACCUGUAAAGGCGAUAGCCAAUGUGAGGGGUCUUUCGCUGCAAGAUACCACACUCAUAGCCGUGUAGAACUGCUGUGAUUAAAGCAGUGUGGUCAACGGGGUAUCGCAGCAGAAGAGAACAAGUAGAACAGCGAUGCCCAAGAGAAAGCCGGCGGGAACACACAGCCAUGGGAGAGCCCGUUAUGUGACCAACGUGGCAUCAUCAAUGGGAAAUCACGGACUCUUCGAAAAACAGCGUUGAGACAGUUGAUUAGUCCAAGAAAAAAAUUCGUUUCAUUCACUAAAUACAGCUGUUUUCUUCUCCUUCUGGGAGCAGGAGGGAGUUGCAUCGUCCCGAACCCUCUGAAACUAGACAUGGUUAUGUGACUCGCUUUGGCCAUGGAAAGGUGAUCAGAAGACACACGUGUCCCUUCACGCAUGGCCCUAAGCACCAGUAUGAGACUCACCGCAUUCACCCCCUUUAUUCAGGGAUCCCAGAGGCCCCUGUCUAGAUAAGCCCCCAGCAUCCUGGGUCCCCCAGGGGCUACGAUGAGCAGAGACCCUGCACUCCCACAGUGGACGACAGUAUAAAUGAGACAUAAAUUUGGGGUUAAGCCUCUGGCAUUCGGGUUUAUUUCUGCAGUACAACCUAGCCUCUCCUACUACAAAAAGAACCCAAAAUUAUACUUGCAUGGAUUAAAAACCCAGAUAUGAAAACUCUAAAAUUUUUAGAAAAAGAUACAGGCAAAGAUCUUUAUGAGCUCAGAGUAUGGGAGGACUCUGUAAAAGUUUUUAAAAAUUAUCAGCCAUAAAGGAAAAGAUCAACGUAUUGACCUCAUCCAAGUUAAAGUCUUCUGUUCAUUAGAAAACACCAUACAUAGGGGCGCCUGGGUGGCUCAGUCGGUUGAGCGUCUGACUUCAGCUCAGGUCAUGAUCUUGCGGUCUGUGAGUUCGAGCCCCGCGUCAGGCUCU
rnacentral:lncRNA from 1 species